GAAGAAAGUAAGGGCGUACAGUGGAUGCCUUGGCACUAAGAGCCGAUGAA
rnacentral:rRNA from 1 species